rnacentral:rRNA from 1 species
UACGAAGGGGGCUAGCGUUGCUCGGAAUCACUGGGCGUAAAGGGUGCGUAGGCGGGCCUUUAAGUCCGGGGUGAAAUCCUGGAGCUCAACUCCAGAACUGCCUUCGAUACUGCGGGUCUCGAGUCCGGGAGAGGUGAGUGGAAUUCCUAGUGUAGAGGUGAAAUUCGUAGAUAUUCGGAGGAACACCAGUGGCGAAGGCGGCUCACUGGUCCAUUACUGACGCUGAGGUGCGAAAGCGUGGGGAGCAAACAGG